UAGGAUAUCUCAAUUCAACAUCGAGGUGAUAAACCUUGUCUUCGAUAUGGACUCUUUGACAAGAUUGUCCUGUUAUCCCUAAAGUAGCUUUUAUCUUUUGAUCAUUAAAGUUCUUUUAAAAAUUUAAUGGGUCAUUAUAACCUACGUUGUAACUGUUAAAGAAAUAUAUUAAACAGUAAGUUGAGUUAUUACUGUAGUGCGUCUCUGUUUUUUUUUAGAGACCAUCGCCCCAAUGAAACUACCUCCCUUUUAAUGGAUUCUUUUUUUUAAAGGUGUAAAAAAAAGGUAUAGUUAAGCUUUAUAGGGUCUUUUCGUCUUACAAUUUUAAAUAGCAUCUUAACUAUUAUUUUAAUUUUUUUAUUAUUUUAUAAGACAGUGAAGUUUUCGUUUAGCCAUUCAUACUAUCCACCAAUUAAGUGGCGAAUGAUUAUGCUACAUUCAUACAGUCAUAGUUACUGCAGCCAUUCAACUUUGUUUUUAUUUAACCGACGCUAUUUAAAUUUAUUUUAGUUUAAGCCAUUGGGC
rnacentral:rRNA from 1 species